rnacentral:rRNA from 1 species
CUCGUAGGCGGUUAGUCGCGUCGGAUGUGAAAACCCAGUGCUUAACACUGGGCCUGCAUUCGAUACGGGCUGACUAGAGUGUUGUAGGGGAGACUGGAACUCCUGGUGUAGCGGUGAAAUGCGCAGAUAUCAGGAAGAACACCGGUGGCGAAGGCGGGUCUCUGGGCAACUACUGACGCUGAGGAGCGAAAGCGUGGGGAGCAAACA